rnacentral:misc_RNA from 1 species
CACCUGUCGCUAAUUCUCUUCCCUUACGUUACUCCCUCUCCAAACUGCUCCUCGUCUUGAUAAACGCGCCCUCCUCCUUUCUUCCUUCUUCAGAGACUCUGAUUCAGACGGGAAUUUGGUAUGUCCUGACUUCAUCAUCCCAAAACGCUUUGUCGUUUUAUUUCUUCUAUAUCACUCUCUCUCUUUGGUGACAGAAAAGAGAAAUUCUCUUUUAAUAAUUCCCAGAGGUAGCGGUUGAAGACGGUGGUGGGUUCAGAUUGAAAUGUUGGGUGAAGCAAAAUUGGGGAGUGAGGACUUGAACCAGUGCU